rnacentral:rRNA from 1 species
CCUACGGUGGGCAGCAGUGGGGAAUAUUGGACAAUGGGCGAAAGCCUGAUCCAGCCAUGCCGCGUGUGUGAAGAAGGCCUUCGGGUUGUAAAGCACUUUCAGUGGGGAAGAAAGCCUUGGGGCUAAUACCCUCGAGGAAGGACAUCACCCACAGAAGAAGCACCGGCUAACUCCGUGCCAGCAGCCGCGGUAAUACGGAGGGUGCGAGCGUUAAUCGGAAUUACUGGGCGUAAAGCGCGCGUAGGCGGUCUGAUAAGCCGGUUGUGAAAGCCCCGGGCUCAACCUGGGAACGGCAUCCGGAACUGUCAGGCUAGAGUGCAGGAGAGGAAGGUAGAAUUCCCGGUGUAGCGGUGAAAUGCGUAGAGAUCGGGAGGAAUACCAGUGGCGAAGGCGGCCUUCUGGACUGACACUGACGCUGAGGUGCGAAAGCGUGGGUAGCAAACAGGAUUAGAUACCCCGGUAGUC